rnacentral:rRNA from 1 species
UACAGAGGUCUCAAGCGUUGUUCGGAAUCACUGGGCUUAAAGGGCGCGUAGGCGGGCUUGCAAGUCUGCGGUGAAAGCCUCCAGCUCAACUGGAGAAGUGCCGUGGAUACUGCGGGCCUCGAGGAGGGUAGGGGCAUCUGGAACGUUGGGUGGAGCGGUGAAAUGCGUUGAUAUCCAACGGAACUCCGGUGGCGAAGGCGAGGUGCUGGACCCUUUCUGACGCUGAGGCGCGAAAGCCAGGGGAGCGAACGGG